GAUGAACGCUGGCGGCGUGCCUAAUACAUGCAAGUCGAGCGAACAGAUGAGGAGCUUGCUCCUCUGACGUUAGCGGCGGACGGGUGAGUAACACGUGGAUAACCUACCUAUAAGACUGGGAUAACUUCGGGAAACCGGAGCUAAUACCGGAUAAUAUAUUGAACCGUAUGGUUCAAUAGUGAAAGACGGUUUUGCUGUCACUUAUAGAUGGAUCCGCGCCGCAUUAGCUAGUUGGUAAGGUAACGGCUUACCAAGGCAACGAUGCGUAGCCGACCUGAGAGGGUGAUCGGCCACACUGGAACUGAGACACGGUCCAGACUCCUACGGGAGGCAGCAGUAGGGAAUCUUCCGCAAUGGGCGAAAGCCUGACGGAGCAACGCCGCGUGAGUGAUGAAGGUCAUCGGAUCGUAAAACUCUGUUAUUAGGGAAGAACAAAUGUGUAAGUAACUAUGCACGUCUUGACGGUACCUAAUCAGAAAGCCACGGCUAACUACGUG
rnacentral:rRNA from 1 species